ACCGCUGCGUGGCUAUGAGUUCUAUGAAAAUUUAAAAUUCAGUGGUUCGAACUUUUCCAAAAGAAAAGUUGACCAUUAGACAACAUGUAGAACUUGAUGAGUGUAGCAAACUUUGUAUUCAUGACUUUUCCAUUUGGGACAAUCUAGGGUUCGGUCAAAGGGUGUGUUUGUAAAAACCAAUGCUUUGACUUUGGUCAAACUUGGUCAAAUAGCCCAUUUGAUGACUUCAAAUGAAAAAAGUUUGAAUACAAAGUUGUUAG
rnacentral:lncRNA from 1 species